GACCUGGUGGUGGAAUUGGCAGACACGCAGCGCUCAGAACGCUGAGCCGUCAUGGCACUGGGAGUUCGAAUCUCCCCCGGGUCA
rnacentral:tRNA from 1 species